AUGUCCCCACGUACACUCCGGUUCCUCCGCGCCGUCCGCACCCACCUGACGGCUGCUCGCUACGUUUUGUUAGCC
rnacentral:sRNA from 1 species